UGUGGAUUCUUAAUAUAUUUCUGGUAUAUUUCCUUCCACUCAGCUCCUCGAUCAAGUAACCACAACCACACAUGGUGUCUGGAAGGCCUGAAGAGCCUCCUCUUUUACUCACUGGCUGGUACAUGGCUCCUAUCCACACUCAAAAUAUUAUGGUGGAUAUCACCUGAAGCCAUGUGAAGCAACUGGCUUAGGCACUGUCAAGUUGCCCUUUUGAAGGAAUAUGGAAGUGUUGAGUAGAAGAGUAUCACUUCUCUUUAGUCUUUCUGACAUUAGGUGUGGCUUCCACAGACCAAACAGUGAUGCUGUAUUGGUCUGACAGAACCUUCAGUUGAGUGAUGUCUGUCUGAAAUGUCUCCAGAUGAUUUUUGUACUGUGAAAUAAAGCCAAACUCUGGAAACAAACAAACAAAAUGUCCUAGGAUUGCUUAUGGCUGUAGAGCCAUCAAGCAGCAGAUAAGAUGGAUGCCGAGUCCGCGCGUGGCGGGGUACUGCACAAUGUCAAGGAUGAGUGGGAUGAUUUUCGUGAUAGAAACUGAGAGGAUCAGAACUCCUAGGCACCAGGAGCUGGUGCUAAAGAUGAGUUAGACUGAGCCUUCUCCACAGAAGUGAGAGACAAGGACAUCUCAACAAGUGGCAAUCCUGUAAUGGACUGUAAUGGAAGUGUUCGGCUCGCGAGGGAAAGACCUCAUUCUUCAGAGGAAAUCAGAAAGGAGGACC